rnacentral:lncRNA from 1 species
CUUGUUGUUGUUGUUGUCGUCGUCGUCGUCUUCGCUGUUCAGGUUGUUGUUCUUGUUGUUCUUGUUGUUGUCGUUGAUAUCGUUGUUGCCGUUGUUGUCAUUGUCGUUGUUGUUGUUGUUGUCAUUGUUGUUGUUGUUGUUGUUGUUGUCGUUGCUGCCGCUUUUGUCGUUGUUCUCGUCCUCGUCGUCAUUGUCAUCAUCGUCGUCGUCGUCGUCGUUGUUAUUGUUGUUGUUGUUG